rnacentral:pre_miRNA from 1 species
GAUGUACUCCCUCUGUUCGGAAUUACUUGUCGCGAAAAUGGAUGUAUCUAGACGUAUUUUAGUUCUAGAUACAUCCAUUUCCGAGACAAGUAAUUCCGAACGGAGGGAGUACAAG